GGGACAAAGUGACAGGUGGUGCAUGGUUGUCGUCAGCUCGUGUCGUGAGAUGUUGGGUUAAGUCCCGCAACGAGCGCAACCCUUAAGCUUAGUUGCCAUCAUUAAGUUGGGCACUCUAAGUUGACUGCCGGUGACAAACCGGAGGAAGGUGGGGAUGACGUCAAAUCAUCAUGCCCCUUAUGAUUUGGGCUACACACGUGCUACAAUGGACAAUACAAAGGGCAGCGAAACCGCGAGGUCAAGCAAAUCCCAUAAAGUUGUUCUCAGUUCGGAUUGUAGUCUGCAACUCGACUACAUGAAGCUGGAAUCGCUAGUAAUCGUAGAUCAGCAUGCUACGGUGAAUACGUUCCCGGGUCUUGUACACACCGCCCGUCACACCACGAGAGUUUGUAACACCCGAAGCCGGUGGAGUAACCUUUUAGGAGCUAGCCGUCGAAGGUGGGACAAAUGAUUGGGGUGAAGUCGUAACAAGGUAGCCGUAUCGGAAGGUGCGGCUGGAUCAC
rnacentral:rRNA from 1 species